UUCUAUUAGAUAUAAUUAAUAGUAUAAUCUGCUCAAUGAAAUUAAAUAGCCGCAAUUCUGUGCUAAGGUAGCAUAAUCAUUUGUCUUUUAAUUGAAGACUAGAACAAAAGAUUGAACAUUUUAAUUUACUUAUUUUUUAAAAUAAUAAAAAUUAUUUUAAAUGUAAAAAAACAUUUAUUAAAAAGAAAGACGACAAGACCCUAUUGAACUUAACUUAAGUUAAACUGGGGCAGUUAAUUAAUUAAUAUUUUAAAUAAAAUAAUUUAAAAAAUGACCUAAUACAAUUAAUUUUAUGAAAAAGUUACCAUAGGGAUAACAGCGUAAUAAUAAUUUAAAGCUCUUAUUAAAAUAAAUUUUUGCGACCUCGAUGUUGAAUUAAUUACCUAAUAAAUAACGCAAUAGUUAAUAAAGGAAGUCUGUUCGACUUUUAAAAAAUUACGUGAUCUGAGUUCA
rnacentral:rRNA from 1 species